rfam:TPA: Bos taurus chromosome 11, whole genome shotgun sequence.
UCCUUGGUGGUCCAGCUGUUAGGAUGCUGUUCUUCCAAUGCAGGGGGCCUGGGUUCGAUUCCUAGUCAGGGAA